rfam:Gaeumannomyces graminis var. tritici R3-111a-1 unplaced genomic scaffold supercont2.3, whole genome shotgun sequence.
GGGGUUGUAGCGCAGUUGGCAGCGCAUAGGUUCCUAUAUGGAGAAGUACCUGCACAAGGGCCAUCCUAAGGUCGUGAGUUCAAGUCUCACCGAUCCCU